rnacentral:rRNA from 1 species
AGCUCCAAUAGCGUAUAUUAAAGUUGUUGCAGUUAAAAAGCUCGUAGUCGGAUUUUGGCUCUCGGCGAACUGUCCGCCUACCGGUGAGUACGGAUCGCCGAUUGCUUCCUUCUGAACCCCUUUCCCGCUCUUCAUUGAGUUGGGUUUGGUUUUCAGAUCUUUUACUUUGAAAAAAUUAGAGUGUUCAAAGCAGGCCAACGCACGAAUAGGUUAGCAUGGAAUAAUGGAAUAGGACUUCCGUUCUAUUUUGUUGGUUUCUAGGACAGAAGUAAUGAUUAAUAGGGACAGUUGGGGGCAUUCGUAUUCCAUUGUCAGAGGUGAAAUUCUUGGAUUAACGGAAGACGAACUUCUGCGAAAGCAUCUGCCAAGGAUGUUUUCA